rnacentral:rRNA from 1 species
UACAGAGGGUGCGAGCGUUGUCCGGAAUCACUGGGCGUAAAGGGCGCGUAGGCGGCUUGAUAAGCGUGCGGUGAAAGCCCGGGGCUCAACCCCGGGUCGGCCGUGCGAACUGUCGAGCUGGAGCACUGUAGAAGCAGGUGGAAUUCCGGGUGUAGCGGUGGAAUGCGUAGAUAUCAGGAGGAACACCGGUGGCGAAGGCGGGUCUCUGGGCCGAUACUGACGCUGAGGAGCGAAAGCGUGGGGAGCGAACAGG